rnacentral:rRNA from 1 species
AUGCACGCUGACAGACUGCUUAACACAUGCAAGUCUUUGGCGAAGCUGUGCUCGCACAGCCUAGCCAAGGCGGACGGGUGAGUAACGCGUAAGGAACUUGCCCUGCAGUCAGGGAUAACAGACGGAAACGACUGAUAAGACCUGGUAAAGUCAGGCGGACUCAUGUCCAGCCUGAUGAAAAGAGAUGCUGCAGGAGAGCCUUGCGUCCUAUUAGCUUGUUGGUGGGGUAACGGCCCACCAAGGCGAUGAUAGGUAGCCGGCCUGAGAGGGUGGACGGCCACAAGGGGACUGAGAUACGGCCCUUACUCCUACGGGAGGCAGCAGUGGGGAAUAUUGGACAAUGGGGGCAACCCUGAUCCAGCAAUUCUGUGUGCACGAUGAAGGUUUUCGGAUUGUAAAGUGCUUUCAGCAGGGAAGAAAAAAAUGACGGUACCUGCAGAAGAAGCGACGGCUAAAUACGUG